rnacentral:rRNA from 1 species
UCCUAGGGGGGCAGCAGUAGGGAAUAUUGCUCAAUGGGGGAAACCCUGAUGCAGCGACGCCGCGUGAGCGAUGAAGUAUUUCGGUAUGUAAAGCUCUAUCAGCAGGGAAGAAAAUGACGGUACCUGACUAAGAAGCCCCGGCUAACUACGUGCCAGCAGCCGCGGUAAUACGUAGGGGGCAAGCGUUAUCCGGAUUUACUGGGUGUAAAGGGGGCGCAGACGGCGAUGCAAGCCAGGAGUGAAAGCCCGGGGCCCAACCCCGGGACUGCUCUUGGAACUGCGUGGCUAGAGUGCAGGAGGGGCAG